UACGUAGGGGGCAAGCGUUGUCCGGAUUUAUUGGGCGUAAAGAGCGUGUAGGCGGCUAGGUAGGUCCGUUGUGAAAACUCGAGGCUCAACCUCGAGACGCCGAUGGAAACCCUCUAGCUAGAGUCCGGAAGAGGAGAGUGGAAUUCCUGGUGUAGCGGUGAAAUGCGCAGAUAUCAGGAAGAACACCCGUGGCUAAGGCGGCUCUCUAGUACGGUACUGACGCUGAGACGCGAAAGCGUGGGGAGCGAACAGG
rnacentral:rRNA from 1 species